rnacentral:rRNA from 1 species
GAUGAACGCUGGCGGUGUGCCUAAUACAUGCAAGUCGAACGAGGUCUUCGGACCUAGUGGCGAACGGGUGAGUAACACGUUGGUACCUACCCUCUAGUGGGGAAUAACUGGCCGAAAGGUCGGCUAAUACCGCAUAAUACCGAAAGGUUAAAGUAGUAAUACGCUAGAGGAGGGGCCUGCGUCCCAUUAGCUUGUUGGUAGUGUAAUGGACUACCAAGGCAACGAUGGGUAGCUGGAUCGAGAGGUUGACCAGCCACACUGGGACUGAGAUACGGCCCAGACUCCUACGGGAGGCAGCAGUAAGGAAUCUUCCACAAUGGGCGAAAGCCUGAUGGAGCAACACCGCGUGCAGGAUGACGGCCUUCGAGUUGUAAACUGCUUUUAUAUGGGAAGAUUAUGACGGUACCAUAUGAAUAAGCACCGGCUAACUACGUGCCAGCCGCCGCGGUAACAC